AGAGUCUGAUCAUGGCUCAGAUUGAACGCUGGCGGGAUGCUUUUUACACAUGCAAGUCGAACGGCAGCACGGACUUCGGUCUGGUGGCGAGUGGCGAACGGUGAGUAAUGUAUCGGAACGUGCCUAGUAGUGGGGAUAAUCAUGCCGCGAAAGCGUAGCUGGCUUAAUGGCAUACGCCCUUCGGGGGGAAAGCGGGGGACCCGGGCCUCGUACUAUUAGAGCGGCCGAUAUCGGACAUAGCUAGCUGGUGGGUAACGGCUCACCAUGACGAUCCGUGAAGCUGGUUUGAGAGGACGACCAGCCGCACUGGGACUGAGACACGGCCCAGACUCCUACGGGAGGCAGCAGUGGGGAAUUUUGGACAAUGGGGGAACCCUGAUCCGCUCAUCCCGCGUGCGAUGAAGGCCUUUCGGGUUGCAAAGCACUUUUGGCAGGAAAGAAACGGCACGGAUAAUACCCCGUGCAACUGGACGGUACCGUAUGUCAGCACCGGCUAACUACGUGCCAGCAGCCGCGGUAAUACGUAGGGUGCAAGCGUUAACCGUGGAAUUACUGGGCGUAAAGCGUGCGCAGGCGGUUCGGAAAAAGAAGAUGAAAUCCCAGAGCUUAACUUUGAACUGCAUUUUUAAUCACCGAGCUAGAGUGUGUCAGAGGGAGGUGGAAUUCCGUGUAGUAGUGAAAUGCGAUAUGCGGAGGAACACCGAUGGUUAAAGGCAGCCUCCGGGAUAACACUGACGCUCAUGCACGAAAGCGUGGGGAGCAAACAGGAUCAGAUAAUUCCUUGGUAGUCCACGCCCUAAACGAUGUCAACUAGCCGUUGGGGCCUCGGGCCUGGUAGCGCAGCUAACGUGUGCUGACCGCCUGGGGAGUACGGUCGCAAGAUUGUUCCAAAGGAAUUGACCGACCCGCACAAGCGGUGGAUGAUGUGGAUUAAUUCGAUGUAACUACGAAAACCUUACCUACCCUUGACAUGUCUGAAUCCCGAAGAGAUUUGGGAGUGUUCGCAAGAGAACCGAACACAGGUGCUGCAAUGGCUGCUUUCCGUCAGCUCUCGUGUCGUGAGAUGCUGGGUUAAGUCCCGCAACGAGCGCAACCCUUGUCAUUAGUUGCUACGAAAAGGGCACUCUAAUGAGACUGCCGGUGACAACCGGAGGGAAGGUGGGGAUGACGUCAGUCCUCAUGGCCCUUAUGGGUAGGGCUUCGUUAUUGCCAAGUACAAUGGUCGGGACAGAGGGUCGCCAACCCGCGAGGGGGAGCCAAUCCCAGAAACCUGAUCGUAGUCCGAUCGCACGCAGUUCCUGCAACUCGACUGCGUGAAGUCGGAAUCGCUAGUAAUCGCGGAUCAGCAUGUCGCGGUGAAUACGUUCCUGGUCUUGUGGACACACCGCCCGUCACACCAUGGGGAGGUUUACCAGAAGUAGUUAGCCUAACCGGGAAGGGGAGGGCGAUUACCACAGAUUCACAGAUCAGUAGAAGUCGCAACAAGGUAAGUCUCCAGCCAAUACCCGAUGCUCCACAGGAGCUGUAUUACGUAAUCGGACUGGCUAUAUC
rnacentral:rRNA from 1 species